AGUCGAGAAUUUUUCACAAUGGGCGAAAGCCUGAUGGAGCGACGCCGCGUGGGGGAUGAAUGGCUUCGGCCCGUAAACCCCUGUCAUUUGCGAUCAAAGCUCAUGAUUUAAAAGAUGAUGAGUUGAUAGUAGCGAAAGAGGAAGGGACGGCUAACUCUGUGCCAGCAGCCGCGGUAAUACAGAGGUCCCAAGCGUUGUUCGGAUUCACUGGGCGUAAAGGGUGCGUAGGUGGUGAGGUAAGUCGGAUGUGAAAGCUCGGAGCUCAACUCCGAAAUGGCAUUGGAAACUGCCUUGCUCGAGGAUUGGAGGGGGGACUGGAAUACUUGGUGUAGCAGUGAAAUGCGUAGAUAUCAAGUGGAACACCAGUGGCGAAGGCGAGUCCCUGGACAAUUCCUGACACUGAGGCACGAAAGCUAGGGGAGCAAA
rnacentral:rRNA from 1 species